GGUCACGUGGUUCAAUCGGCAGAGCACCGUGCUAAAAAUGCGAGGGUUGUGAGUUCGAGUCUCACUGUGACCA
rnacentral:tRNA from 1 species